AAGAAUUUAUGGAGAUAUUUGAGUAGAAGAGCUUCAUUAUGAGUCCUUAGGUUUAAAACACCAAGACCAUCCUCUUCCUUUGGCAAACAAACAAGUUCCCAGCUGCUUUUGGUGGCUCUCUAUUAUUUAUAUUAGAUUUUCUCCAAAGGCAACAUUUUCUAUAUUUGUCCACUUGUUUGUAUACUGUUUUAUGUAGCAAGAAAGUGCACAUAUGAAACAUUGGCAUACCUGUGAAAAUCGAAUUUGUCAACUGGAAUCUUCCUGCAUCUGAUAGAAAAUUUGAGGUGGUUACCAAUCUUCUUUCACAUCUAGUUACCA
rnacentral:lncRNA from 1 species